rnacentral:rRNA from 1 species
GGAAUCUGGGAGGACCAUCUCCUAAGGCUAAAUACUCUCUAGUGACCGAUAGUGAACCAGUACCGUGAGGGAAAGGUGAAAAGCACCCCGGAAGGGGAGUGAAAUAGAACCUGAAACCGUGUGCUUACAAGUAGUCAGAGCCCGUUAAUGGGUGAUGGCGUGCCUUUUGUAGAAUGAACCGGCGAGUUACGAUUUGAUGCAAGGUUAAGCAGUAAAUGUGGAGCCGUAGCGAAAGCGAGUCUGAAUAGGGCGUUUAGUAUUUGGUCGUAGACCCGAAACCAGGUGAUCUACCCUUGGUCAGGUUGAAGUUCAGGUAACACUGAAUGGAGGACCGAACCGACUUACGUUGAAAAGUGAGCGGAUGAACUGAGGGUAGCGGAGAAAUUCCAAUCGAACCUGGAGAUAGCUGGUUCUCUCCGAAAUAGCUUUAGGGCUAGCCUCAAGUGAUGAUUAUUGGAGGUAGAGCACUGUUUGGACGAGGGGCCCCUCUCGGGUUACCGAAUUCAGACAAACUCCGAAUGCCAAUUAAUUUAACUUGGGAGUCAGAACAUGGGUGAUAAGGUCCGUGUUCGAAAGGGAAACAGCCCAGACCACCAGCUAAGGUCCCAAAAUAUAUGUUAAGUGGAAAAGGAUGUGGCGUUGCCCAGACAACUAGGAUGUUGGCUUAGAAGCAGCCAUCAUUUAAAGAGUGCGUAAUAGCUCACUAGUCGAGUGACACUGCGCCGAAAAUGUACCGGGGCUAAACAUAUUACCGAAGCUGUGGAUUGUCCUUUGGACAAUGGUAGGAGAGCGUUCUAAGGGCGUUGAAGCAUGAUCGUAAGGACAUGUGGAGCGCUUAGAAGUGAGAAUGCCGGUGUGAGUAGCGAAAGACGGGUGAGAAUCCCGUCCACCGAUUGACUAAGGUUUCCAGAGGAAGGCUCGUCCGCUCUGGGUUAGUCGGGUCCUAAGCUGAGGCCGACAGGCGUAGGCGAUGGAUAACAGGUUGAUAUUCCUGUACCACCUAUAAUCGUUUUAAUCGAUGGGGGGACGCAGUAGGAUAGGCGAAGCGUGCGAUUGGAUUGCACGUCUAAGCAAUAAGGCUGAGUAUUAGGCAAAUCCGGUACUCGUUAAGGCUGAGCUGUGAUGGGGAGAAGACAUUGAGUCUUCGAGUCGUUGAUUUCACACUGCCGAGAAAAGCCUCUAGAUAGAAAAUAGGUGCCCGUACCGCAAACCGACACAGGUAGUCAAGAUGAGAAUUCUAAGGUGAGCGAGCGAACUCUCGUUAAGGAACUCGGCAAAAUGACCCCGUAACUUCGGGAGAAGGGGUGCUCUUUAGGGUUAACGCCCAGAAGAGCCGCAGUGAAUAGGCCCAAGCGACUGUUUAUCAAAAACACAGGUCUCUGCUAAACCGUAAGGUGAUGUAUAGGGGCUGACGCCUGCCCGGUGCUGGAAGGUUAAGAGGAGUGGUUAGCUUCUGCGAAGCUACGAAUCGAAGCCCCAGUAAACGGCGGCCGUAACUAUAACGGUCCUAAGGUAGCGAAAUUCCUUGUCGGGUAAGUUCCGACCCGCACGAAAGGCGUAACGAUUUGGGCACUGUCUCAACGAGAGACUCGGUGAAAUCAUAGUACCUGUGAAGAUGCAGGUUACCCGCGACAGGACGGAAAGACCCCGUGGAGCUUUACUGUAGCCUGAUAUUGAAAUUCGGCACAGCUUGUACAGGAUAGGUAGGAGCCUUUGAAACGUGAGCGCUAGCUUACGUGGAGGCGCUGGUGGGAUACUACCCUAGCUGUGUUGGCUUUCUAACCCGCACCACUUAUCGUGGUGGGAGACAGUGUCAGGCGGGCAGUUUGACUGGGGCGGUCGCCUCCUAAAAGAUAACGGAGGCGCUCAAAGGUUCCCUCAGAAUGGUUGGAAAUCAUUCAUAGAGUGUAAAGGCAUAAGGGAGCUUGACUGCGAGACCUACAAGUCGAGCAGGGUCGAAAGACGGACUUAGUGAUCCGGUGGUUCCGCAUGGAAGGGCCAUCGCUCAACGGAUAAAAGCUACCCCGGGGAUAACAGGCUUAUCUCCCCCAAGAGUUCACAUCGACGGGGAGGUUUGGCACCUCGAUGUCGGCUCAUCGCAUCCUGGGGCUGUAGUCGGUCCCAAGGGUUGGGCUGUUCGCCCAUUAAAGCGGUACGCGAGCUGGGUUCAGAACGUCGUGAGACAGUUCGGUCCCUAUCCGUCGUGGGCGUAGGAAAUUUGAGAGGAGCUGUCCUUAGUACGAGAGGACCGGGAUGGACAUACCUCUGGUGUACCAGUUGUCGUGCCAACGGCAUAGCUGGGUAGCUAUGUGUGGACGGGAUAAGUGCUGAAAGCAUCUAAGCAUGAAGCCCCCCUCAAGAUGAGAUUUCCCAACUUCGGUUAUAAGAUCCCUCAAAGAUGAUGAGGUUAAUAGGUUCGAGGUGGAAGCAUGGUGACAUGUGGAGCUGACGAAUACUAAUCGAUCGAAGACUUAAUCAA